UUUUUAUUGGAUGUUGCAUGUCAUCGAUCUUCGUAAAAGUUGCGUUUAUGUCUUGGACUCCCUUCGUGGUAAAGUCAAUGAAGACAUUCAUGGAGUCAUAAGUGUAGGGUUGAAGACAUGGCAAGCGAAACACGACCUACAACGUUAUCGGUCAACUCCAAAAUGGAGACCUGUAAAGUGCCUUCAUCAAUUGGAUUCUGUAGGGUGUGGGUACUACGUGCAAAAGUACAUACAUGAGAUAGUGCAUAAUUCUAGUACUUC